rnacentral:rRNA from 1 species
AGUUCUGGUGUCAGCCGCCGCGGUAAAACCAGCACCUCAAGUGGUCAGGAGGAUUAUUGGGCCUAAAGCAUCCGUAGCCUGUUCUAUAAGUUUGCGGUUAAAUCUAUACGCUCAACGUAUAGGCUGCUGUAAAUACUGUAGAACUAGGGAGUGGGAGAGGUAGGCGGUACUCGGUAGGAAGGGGUAAAAUCCUUUGAUCUAUUGAUGACCACCUGUGGCGAAGGCGGUCUACCAGAACACGUUCGACGGUGAGGGAUGAAAGCUGGGGGGGCAAACCGGAUUAGAUACCCGGGUAGUCCCAGCUGUAAACGAUGCAGACUCGAUGAUGCAAUGGCAUAGAGCUAUUGCAGUAUCGCAGGGAAGCCGUUAAGUCUGCCGCCUGGGAAGUACGUACGCAAGUAUGAAACUUAAAGGAAUUGGCGGGGGAGCACCACAA